AUGUUCCCUUGCACCCCAGGUUUCAGAGUUAUGGCGAGAUUUCCAAGAGCCCGAAACCUCCCAGCUCGUCGAGGUAGGUCAUCUUCAUCUGAUGCGCGUUCCAGCUGUUGGAAGACAAAAGAAGCAGACGAACAGAGUGAUUUGCCAUUGGCCUGUGAGAAAAGAGAAUGGAAAGGUGCAACUUGCCCAGUUUGCUUGGAGCAUCCACAUGAUGCCGUCCUCCUCCUCUGUACUUCUCACCACAAGGGUUGCCGGCCUUAUAUGUGUGGCACCAACUACCAUCACUCUAACUGUCUUGAACACUUCAAAGAAGCUUAUGCGAAAGAGAAAUUGGCCCUUGGUGAUUCCGCCGAGUCCGCACUUAACCUUCCAUUUUCUCCAAACACAGAACCAGCAAACAAGCAUCCAUCUACAAUGGAACUUGCAUGCCCUCUGUGCCGUGGGGAUGUUAAAGGAUGGACUGUGGUUGAACCUGCUCGUCAGUAUCUCAACCGCAAGAAGAGAGCAUGUGUGCAUGAUGCCUGCUCGUUCGUUGGUUCAUAUAGAGAACUUUGCAAGCAUGUGAACUCCAAACACCCUUCAGCAAAACCUCGUGAGGUUGAUCCUGCACUUGCAAGUGAGUGGAAAAAGUUUGAAUGUGAAAGAGAGCGCCAGGAUGCAAUCAGUACUAUCAGGGCUUCGAACCCAGGAGCUGUGAUUAUGGGGGAUUAUGUACUUGAAUUGAACGGUGGCAGCAACAACAGUAUGUUCGCCGAUGGAGAUGAAUUUGACUUGGAGAGACUCAACUUCUUCACUUCCAUGGAUCGCACCCUGAACGAGAGGAUCGACUUCUAUGAAUCUUCAGAAGGUAGUUUGGAUGAGAGCAUCGACUUCCUGGCAUCCUUAUUUGGCCGUGGCAGGCGGAUCACAAGUGGAGACUCACACAGCAGGGCUUACAGAAGGCACAGGGAGAGGCCUAGGCGUAACCACCUGGGCAUAUCAGUUGAUUCUUCUGAUAUCCGGCAAGAUCCAGUCAACACUCAAAGGGGGCAGCGAGUUGCUGCUGUUCGAGGGAGAGCCCCACGGCGGCACCAUCCUAUGGUGACUCACGUGAGGUCGACACGUGGGAGCUGA
rnacentral:rRNA from 1 species